UACGUAGGGUGCAAGCGUUAAUCGGAAUUACUGGGCGUAAAGCGUGCGCAGGCGGUGAUGUAAGACAGUUGUGAAAUCCCCGGGCUCAACCUGGGAACUGCAUCUGUGACUGCAUCGCUGGAGUACGGUAGAGGGGGAUGGAAUUCCUGGUGUAGCAGUGAAAUGCGUAGAGAUCAGGAGGAAUACCGAUGGCGAAGGCGGUUCUCUGGGCCUGUACUGACGCUGAGGUGCGAAAGCGUGGGGAGCAAACAGG
rnacentral:rRNA from 1 species